rnacentral:rRNA from 1 species
GCGAUCAUACCAGCAGUAAUGCACCGGAUCCCAUCAGAACCCCGAAGUUAAGCGUGCUUGGGCGAGAGCAGUACUAGGAUGGGUGACCCCCUGGGAAGUCCUCGUGUUGCACCU